rnacentral:rRNA from 1 species
UACAGAGGUGGCAAGCGUUGUUCGGAAUUACUGGGCGUAAAGCGUGCGCAGGCGGCUAUUUAAGUCAGGUGUGAAAGCCCUGGGCUUAACCUAGGAAUUGCGCUUGAGACUGGAUAGCUUGGAGUGCGGCAGAGGGAGGUGGAAUUCCACGUGUAGCAGUGAAAUGCGUAGAGAUGUGGAGGAACACCGAUGGCGAAGGCAGCCUCCUGGGCCAGCACUGACGCUCAUGCACGAAAGCGUGGGGAGCAAACAGG